UUGAUGAGCUGUUUCUUGAGACUUUUCCAGUGUUUACACAAAAACACUAGCCUUCCUCUGUCAUGAGUGUAAGGGCAAAGUUGAGGAGUCUGGGCCAGCUGUGUGCUGGGUUCUGUACAGGAUGUUAGAGACACAGAAAUGACAAACCCACGGGUCCUGCCUAGCCUGGUGCAGCAGGGGAGAUAGACAGUGUCCCCAAACAAAGAUUACAGAAUAUUUCUGCAUGGAGGUGGUGCCCAAGAGGGCCUGGUGAGCUCUACUUGGUAAGUCAGAGAAGGCUUCCUGGAGGAGGAGUUUACUCUCCUCUGAAGUCACAUCCUGGAAGAUGAGCUGAAGGGCAUGAGAUGGAUGCCUGGACUGGGAUUCCAGGGACUCAGCACAUGAGAAGCCUGGAGAUGGUCAUGUGUGGAGCUCAAAGGUGGGCCUCACCAUGUUGCCCAAGCUGGUCUGGAAGCCCUGAGCUCAAGCAAUCUGCCUGCCUCAACCUCCCAAAGUGCUGGAAUUACAGGUGUGAGCCACCCCACCCAUCCUUAUGAGUGACUUCAAUGAAGUUGUUUAAUUUCUUUCUAGGCCUCAGUUUGCUCAUCUGUAAAUGGGGAUAACAGCAGAUCCUUUUCCCUAGGCCUAUUAUGAAGCUUAAUUGAGAUAAUGGAUGUAGAGCACAGGGUAUAAUGCCUGGCAUGUAAUAAGCUCUAACAUAUGUUAACCUGGCAUUACAGCAUUACUUGAUCAUGUGUCAGGAGCAUUUUUUUUCUUUUUGAGAUGGAGUUUUGCUCUGUUGCCCAGGCUGGAGUGCAGUGAUGCCAUCUCGGCUCACUGCAACCUCUGCCUCCCUGGUUCAAGCGAUUCUCCUGCCUCAGCCUCCCAAGUAGCAGGUACUACAGGCAUGUGCCACCAUGCCCAGCUAAUUUUUUGCACUUAGUAGAGAUCAGGUUUUACUAUGUUGGCUAGGAUGGUCUCGAUCCCUUGACCUCAUGAUCUGCCCGCCUCGGCCUCCCAAAGUGCUGGGAUUACAGGCGUGAUGCCCUAUGUCUGGCCGCCUCAGCCCAAAUUUUGUAUUUUUAGUAGAGAUGGGGUUUCACCAUAUUGGCCAGGCUGGUCGCAAACUUUUGACCUCAUGAUCUGCCCGCCUUGGCAUCCCAAAGUGCUGGUAUUACAGGCGUGAGCCACCACGCCCAGCCUGGAGCAUUUUUUUCUUGGUUAGUUCAUUUUUACUCAAGUAGUGUUUAUUUCAAAAGUGUUGCUUCUUAGCUUUAUUUGUUUAUUUUUAUAAAUUUAUGGGAAACGAGCGUAAUAUGGUUAUAUGCAUAGAUCAUGGAGUGGUGAGCUCAGGGCUUUUCGGGUAUCCAUCACCCAAACAAUGUACCUUGUACCCAUUAGGUAACUCCUCAUCAUCCAGGAAUACUUAAUUUAAAAUUAAUUUUAUAUGAAAAUAAAUAAAUAUAUCAGAUACCA
rnacentral:lncRNA from 13 species